rnacentral:RNase_P_RNA from 1 species
AAAUGCUUCCGGGCAAUCGCUCACCGCUUUUGGCGGUGGGAGGAAAGUCCGAACACCAGCGGGUACCGUGCUUCCUAACGGGAAGGUCUCUGCGUUUGACGCAGGGAACAGACAGUGCCACAGAAAACAGACUUCCUUUUGAUGCGGAGGGUGAGGGUUAGCCCUCAUCCGUUGAUGCACCGGAAGGUAAAGGUGAAAAGGUGAGGUAAGAGCUCACCGUCGCUGCCGGUGACGGCAGUGUGCAUGGAAAACCUCACGGGGUGCAAGUUCACGCAGGCUGUGUGCCACCCGUCACAAUACAGCCGGGUAGAACGCUCAGAUCUUUCGGGUGACCGAAAGGCCAGAUAAAUGAUUGCCAUCCCGACACACAUCGGGAUACAGAAUUCGGCUUACAGGAAGCAUUUAACA